rnacentral:rRNA from 1 species
GACGAACGCUGGCGGCGUGCUUAACACAUGCAAGUCAUGGGGACCCGCAAGGGUAACCGGCGAACGGGUGCGUAACACGUGAGCAAUCUGCCUAAGACGUGGGGGAUAGCCGGCCCAACGGCCGGGUAAUACCGCAUACGCUCUCCUGGUGGCAUCACCGGGUGAGGAAACCCUUCGGGGGCAUCUAGAGGAGCUCGCGGCCUAUCAGCUAGUUGGUGAGGUAAUGGCUCACCAAGGCUUUGACGGGUAGCUGGUCUGAGAGGAUGGCCAGCCACAUUGGGACUGAGAUACGGCCCAGACUCCUACGGGAGGCAGCAGUGGGGAAUAUUGCGCAAUGGCCGAAAGGCUGACGCAGCGACGCCGCGUGGGGAUGAAGCAUUUCGGUGUGUAAACCCCUGUUGCUCGGGACGAACAACCUCUUUAAAGAGGUCUGACGGUACCGGGUGAGGAAGCACCGGCUAACUCUGUGCCA